UUGUUUUGACGAGUGUCAAAUAGGAUGACUGAUGAAUUUGGGACCGGCCUUGGUAUUUGAUUUGGAUCAAUUUUUGAUUGUGUGGCUGCAGGAGAUCCGGUUUGACCAAUAGCAGGUGAGAUGGUAGUCAUCGAUUGAUUAGGUGGAGGUGGUGGCAUCCCAAACAUUCUAGGUGGCUGCAAUUGACCCGAAAUAGGUGGAGGAGCUGGUGCCUUGUGUUCAAAUAAGACAAACAAUCAAGUUUUUUUUCCAUAUGAGAAACCCCGCUGUCGUGAAGAAAAAUGAAAUAACAAAAAUAUGGGCAAGACAGAAAGGAAGUAAUACAGAAUAGAAACAUGCGGCUGUAAAAAAAAAACUGAAAGAAGUACAUGACACAAUGGACAACUUCUACCUCCUUCUUGCCCAGUGUUUUCUGUUUUUAAAUAAAUCAGUUGACAAAUUAUUGACUUUCAGCAGUUCAGGAUAAAUCCAAUAACUCUCCUCACGUCUAAAGAUAAGAGUUAUAUAGAACAGUAGGGGGUACCAUAUGAAUAUAGCUUGUAAAGUCUCUCUAAUUCAAUCCCCAAAAAAAACAAACAUUGGUUUGUGACUUCAACUAACUAAUACACAUUACACAAACUCAACAACCUCUUUUUCCUUUCUUUUCUUGUUCUAGAACAAAAAAACAGAGAGCGAUAAGCCUUAAAUUAUUGGGGAUAAAUUCCGUUUCAUUGUGAACAAACUCAACAAGCUCUGUUUCAUGAUUUUCAUUGGUGUAAAUGUAAACGUCAUUUUAAUGUCUAGUCAACAGAUUUGUUAUAAUGUACUUUUAGUGAUUGGGAGUUUUGAGGCUCCCUGUAAUCCAUUCAUCAAUGAAAUUUAUUUUUCUAAAAAAAUACAGUAAGGAAAAACAAGGCUCUCAAAAAUUUGAACUUUUUUCAGAAAAAGAAACUGCAUUCAUACUUCUUCAUAAGAUAACGCGGUUAUUUUACUUUUCAAUAAAUGAGCCCUUAAAAGUCAGAUAUCUAUUUGAGAAGUAAAUUUACAAUCAUCGUGCUAACUUACAUCUACCCAUUAAACUCAAAUGAGUUUUAAUUAGUAUAAUUUACUCAAACAAUUGGAUAAUCUACCUAUCAAUUUCUAGAAAAUGUAACUUGAACUUCCUAGAGAGACAGCAACAAUACUUCAACUGACAAAAUGCACAUUACACAAUUAAAGUUGAUCAUCACAGGAUGCCUUUAUCAGAAUAAUACAAAAUGAUUAAUGCACGAUAGUAACAAGUUAAGAAUUCAUGGUACCUGACCAGGUUGCAUCGGCCAUGAUGGUGGUCCAAAUGGGGAACCUGAUGGUGGGGAUACUCCUUGAGAUGUUGGCUGAAAUGGUGAUGCCGGUUGUCCGGUAGGACCUGGUGGAGCAGAAAAUUCAGAGCCACCUGGAACAGAAUGCAUAAAUGGAGGCCGGACAGAUGCUGUCAUUGGUGGUGGACCUACAAAUGGUGGAGGGCCUUGUGGUGCAUUGACUGCUGGAGGAAAACGUGGCCCACCGGGGAAGUUGCCCUGUACAAAUGCUGGAGGGCCAUUACUUAACGUACCACUCUGAGCACUUGGGGGAGGUAUGCUUGGGCUACUAACAGAAGGGGGGAAGGCUGCA
rnacentral:lncRNA from 1 species